rnacentral:rRNA from 1 species
UACGAAGGUCCCAAGCGUUGUUCGGAAUCACUGGGCGUAAAGGGAGCGUAGGCGGCGUGGUAAGUCAGAUGUGAAAUCCCGGGGCUCAACCCCGGAACUGCAUCCGAUACUGCCAUGCUUGAGGGUUGGAGAGGUAGCUGGAAUUCUCGGUGUAGCAGUGAAAUGCGUGGAUAUCGAGAGGAACACUCGUGGCGAAGGCGAGCUACUGGACAACAUCUGACGCUGAGGCACGAAAGCUAGGGGAGCAAACAGG